GGCAUACAGUACUAUGGGUCGUAUCAGGGUCAUGUACAUUUGUAUCUUCAGGUUAGUCGAUAAUAUUCUUGAGCUCAGUACUCUUCCCAGACCAAAAAAACUUUUGUUGCCUUUUUGUAUCCUAGCACUGACUUCCAUCUUCAGGUCAUUAUCUUGUGUUAGCAAGUACCCCAAGUACUUAAAAUGUGUGACUCUUUUGAAUACAC